UACGGGAGGCAGCAGUGGGGAAUAUUGCACAAUGGGCGCAAGCCUGAUGCAGCCAUGCCGCGUGUAUGAAAAAGGCCUUCGGGUUGUAAAGUACUUUCAGUCGUGAGGAAGGUGUUAAGGUUAAUAACCUUAGCAAUUGACGUUAGCGACAGAAGAAGCACCGGCUAACUCCGUGCCAGCAGCCGCGGUAAUACGGAGGGUGCGAGCGUUAAUCGGAAUUACUGGGCGUAAAGGGCACGCAGGCGGUUAAUUAAGUUGGAUGUGAAAUCCCCGGGCUUAACCUGGGAAUGGCAUUCAAGACUGGUUAGCUAGAGUCUUGUAGAGGGGGUAGAAUUCCAUGUGUAGCGGUGAAAUGCGUAGAGAUGUGGAGGAAUACCGGUGGCGAAGGCGGCCCCCUGGACAAAGGACUGACGCUCAUGUGCGAAAGCGUGGGGAGCAAACAGGGAUUAGAUACCCGU
rnacentral:rRNA from 1 species